ensembl:lncRNA
CGUUCUCUCAGGAUCUUCUUUCAGCUCUGUCUGUGAUUUUCUACUGUUCUGUUCUUGGUGAACUGUUUCUGCUGUUUGCUCACUUAGCUGCUCUUGAGUUGCUUUCAAGCUGGAUUCCAUUAGAAGAAGUUUUUCAUCUUGACUGGCAAGUUCUUGGGCUGAAAGAUAAAGGAAAAAAAAAAAGAAAAAAAAAAGGGGGGGAAAAGAAAAGAAAAGAGAAAAGCAUUACAUUUUAAAUCUAAACUGAGUGAUAUUUUUGUUUUAAAAGUAAUAGAGUGCAUUGCAACCCUCUGUAAGGCCUGGACAAAUAUUGUUUUCAUGAGAACAGCAUAAUUCUGUUCCCAAAUCCUUAGAGGAAAAUAUAGCACAGAUAUAUUAAUAGUUGACUUAAGACUCUCUCCUUGCAUUGCAGUAAACAUAAAUAAAGAGUCUUGGAUUCAGUUUUCUGAAAAUAUUUAAACUGCUACCAAAUCUUACUGUGUAUAUAAAAAUUCAGUAUUUAGCUCAUUCUAAAGCAAAUGUCUAUUUCUAUCAUAUUUUGUUAAUGUAAGUAAUUCCGGAAUUCAAAAUCAUAGUUUUAAGAAGAUAAUAGCUCUUGUACCAUUUUACUAUCAUAAUAUAUACAAUUUAAUGUCUUCAAUUUUUUUUUUUUUUUUUUUUUUUUUUUUAAUGAAUUAUGGAGUACAUACAUAGUAAAAACCUGCUAUUUUCCAAGGUCAUCCAAUAGAUGGCAAUCUUUCCUUAGACCAAAAGAAAUGAGAGCUGUACACUGCCAGCUCUCUCAGAAAAAUAAGUGAUUUAAGACAAAGACAUUUUUCCUUUGUUCUUUGUUGACCAUUUUCCUAAAAGAUAUAUGUUCAUAGGUUUUAAUUUAAAUUUUUGACCCUUAGUGUAUGCAUGUACAAGUUUGUGACGGUGUAUGGAUGUAUGUGUACAUGUGCAGACACGCAUAUGAAUUUGUUUUUAUACUGUUCUCUAAAUAUAUGGCUUCAGGCACAUCGGCACAUUUAGUUACUAGUUUUAAGAUAUAUUGGAAUUGAACUGAUUGUUAAAGCAAGUGCUUCACUACAAACAUUUUUCAGGACGCAUUCCCAUCAAUCCAACAAUGCAUAUUUUGCAAUUAACAUACCCACUUCUACACAAAAAAAGGAAAUCAGCUUCCGACUUUCUCAGAAGGUCAUCUCUUUUGCGUAUUGCCUGUGAAGACAAAAAGCAUUCCAAUAGUGCUUUUUAUGAUGUACUUUUUAUACUGCAUCCUGCUAUUUUGAGCUAUGGGGUACAUGAGAUUAUACAGCACCUCAUUAGUAACUAGGUCAAGUAUCCACAAUCUCCUCCAGGAUCAAAAAGUUACAAGGACUUUAAUUUAGAAUAGCCUGUUGAAAAAAAGAUUCAGUAUUACAAUAAAUGCAUCAUUAAUCAAUACUUACAAGUUCAAAGGCAAAAAUAUAUAUACAUAUUCCAUGUAAUUGUGAGAGAAAUGCAGUUUGAUCUAAAUGAAUGAUUUAAAAAAAAAAAAAGGAAGAAUGUCUGAUGAAUUAAAAAAUAAAGUAAAAUCAAAUAAGAAAGGGGGAUUGUUAACCUCUUGGUGACAACUGCCACAGAGCUCUUUCAUUGGGUACUCAGGCAAAUGCCAUAGGUUAAUAUGGCCAUAGGGGUAUCCCAAAGCAAUCAGAAAAAAAAGAUAUCAUGCUACUUUCUCUCUUCUUUUCUUUUUUUUCUCUCACAGUUUAAAGUUCUUAUCUGUGUAAAACAACGACUCAACUGUAUUUUAUUGUUGCUUGAAUUGUCAAGUAAAACUUGGAGUCUGGAUUUAGAAGAGCCCAUUCUGUUGAGACAUGGAGCAAUAGUUUUAAUUUCUACACGCACAUAUUUUAAGCAUGUGUUGCAAGUUUAUAGACAUAAGUUUAGAGAUAAAAGUAUCAAUCACUAUUGAGUAUUCAUGACUGACUGUGUGUUAUUGGCUUGAUGCCACACCUUGAUUUUCUAUCAUGCUCCAUCAUGCUUCUUUUAAUCUGAAUAUUUAGUACUCUUUCAUGUCUUAAUUACAGCAAAUUGCACACAGUUGGCACCAUUUCUUGAAAUUAAUCCCAGAGUACUUUGUUUCUGUCAAGCACAGUCAAAGCCUUAGAGAAUAAUAGUAAAUGUUAUUGCAGAUCUAAAUUUAAAUGACUGUCUAUGUAUUUAACUUAAGCCUUUAAUUAUUCGUGCAGCACUGUUUUUGGUUCAAAUGUUAAACAUUCAUUUUCGAGAAUUUAAAAUUGUUUCAGACAGCUUGAAACCUGUGAUGUUAACAUGACAACAAUUAUUUGUAUUAACACGUCUUUUCAGGUGUGUAAAACUUAAUAGACAUCAUAUAAUACCCUGCCACAGUAAUAUGUCUCCAUUUCUUUCUGUUUAUUCAGUAAAUAAUAAAAAGGUUCUAAUUACAAGAAAGAGUUUUGCUGGGGGUUAAUUCCUUCUGUUGUCCUUUUUUGGCUAUGCAAAAAAAAAAAAAAUCUAGAAUAUAAACAAUUUUUUUUCCUCAUUAGCUGAUUCUUAAAAUGUUU